GUUCAGAAAAGAUAUGUAUACUACAAUAAGCAAUUUCACCUUCGUUUAUAUUGUUACACGAGAUGAAAUGCCCAGUUUGUCAAAAUAAUGGGUCAUCUCUGAAUGUGAAAAGCACAUUUAUUUUGUACUGAAGUACAAAAGAAAACCAGCAUUUCUAGGACUGGGUUCAUCCCAUCCUGACACGGUCCUCUGAAAAAGGACCUUCUUCAGACGAGUUGUAACCACCAGAGCACAGAACUGAAUCUCCCUGGGUGUCUUCCAAUGCCAGGUUGUAUAAAAUUAAAUUUAGAUAUCUAAGUGUAGGAAAGUAAUUAGAACACCGAAACAUGUAUUUUAGCGCCAUGGUGAGUGGAGAACAGGGGAGCAGGAGCUGCUGCCCAGUGGAGAGCUGUGCCCGAGUACUGCCAAGGUAAAGGGCUGUUGGCUGCCCCUGCUUCCUGACUUGCCCCUCUCCUGGCCACAAGGCAGAUGUGGGGACUGAGCAUAAAACAAGCAUAAAACCACAUAAAAGGCAUAAAACCACUAUGGGCUAUGACUUUUUAUGACUUUUUAUGAAAUAGUGUCUUUCAACUAUAAACCAGCAUCCGAAAGAAAAUGGCAGCCCUGUGUGCAUAGUGGGAAGGGACUUCCUGUUGUGAGGUACUUCUGGGUAAACUGCAAGGAGCAGCUAGUGCUGCUGGCCAGUGGCAGGGCCUGUGGACACGCAGAGAGUUCUGAUAAGACAAUUACGUAAUCCAGCACAUCAAACUAUGUUCCUGUGCAUCAGGACAAAUGAUAGGCAAACGUGUUCUUACUGACCUGUUUCUUCAACAUAAUUGUCCUUGAGAAGCAAGCAACAAGCUAUUCAGACGGAAUAAGCUCCACAGCACUUCUUCCAUUUUGCAGAAUAUGGAAGUGAAUUGGGCGCAGGUGCCCAAGAUGCUGGCAGGGGGUAACAGGGGUCCUCUGUGGGGGGAAGCCGGGGCUGCCCCAUGCCAGAUACAGCUGGUUCCAGCUGGCUCCAGUGGCCCCACCACAGGGCACGGCUGGGCCCAGCGUACACAGUGGUGGUACCUCAGAAAACCAGCUUGAGGAAGAAUCACAGAAUCACAGAAUGUCCUGAGCUGGAAGGGACCCACAGGGAUCAUCAUGUCCAACUCCUGGCUCCACACAGGACCACCUAAAAAUCAAUUUCUGUGUCUCUGAGCAUUGUCCAAGUGCUUCUUGAACUCCACCAGGCUCAGUACUGUGACCACUUCAGAAGAGGAGGAGAAGGAGGAAAAGCUCCAUGGCAAAACAGAUAUUCCCUGCAGCCCAUGGAGGACCAGUGCUGGAGCACAGGAAAUAAGGAAGGAACACAGAGAGGAACCACUGAGAGCUGACCACAAGCCCUGCACUGCCUGUGGCCUCUCUGAAUGGACUAAGUGUAACCUGCAGUGAUAACAAGAUGGAAAAGGGGAGUCUGGAGUGAAGUCAAGUCUAUGGGAAGGGGAGAAAAGGUGUAUUCAAUGCAUGUGUAAAUGUUUCUUCUUCUUUUUUGUCUGUUUCCUAACACCUGAUUCAGUAAUUAUAUUAAAAGGCAAUAAAUUAAGUUUAUUUUUCCCA
ensembl:lncRNA